UACGGAGGAUGCGAGCGUUAUCCGGAUUUAUUGGGUUUAAAGGGUGCGCAGGCGGCACGGCAAGCCGGCGGUCAAAUCGCGGGGCUCAACCCCGCCCAGCCGUCGGAACUGCCGGGCUAGAGUGGGCGAGAAGUGCGCGGAAUGCGUGGUGUAGCGGUGAAGUGCAUAGAUAUCACGCAGAACUCCGAUUGCGAAGGCAGCGCACCGGCGCCCUACUGACGCUCAGGCACGAAAGCGUGGGUAUCGAACAGG
rnacentral:rRNA from 1 species